rnacentral:rRNA from 1 species
UUAAGCGACUAAGCGUACACGGUGGAUGCCCUGGCAGUCAGAGGCGAUGAAGGACGUGCUAAUCUGCGAUAAGCGUCGGUAAGGUGAUAUGAACCGUUAUAACCGGCGAUUUCCGAAUGGGGAAACCCAGUGUGUUUCGACACACUAUCAUUAACUGAAUCCAUAGGUUAAUGAGGCGAACCGGGGGGAACUGAAACAUCUAAGUACCCCGAGGAAAAGAAAUCAACCGAGAUUCCCCCAGUAGCGGCGAGCGAACGGGGAGCAGCCCAGAGCCUGAAUCAGUGUGUGUGUUAGUGGAAGCGUCUGGAAAGGCGCGCGAUACAGGGUGACAGCCCCGUACACAAAAAUGCACAUGCUGUGAGCUCGAUGAGUAGGGCGGGACACGUGGUAUCCUGUCUGAAUAUGGGGGGACCAUCCUCCAAGGCUAAAUACUCCUGACUGACCGAUAGUGAACCAGUACCGUGAGGGAAAGGCGAAAAGAACCCCGGCGAGGGGAGUGAAAAAGAACCUGAAACCGUGUACGUACAAGCAGUGGGAGCCUCUUUUAUGGGGUGACUGCGUACCUUUUGUAUAAUGGGUCAGCGACUUAUAUUCUGUAGCAAGGUUAACCGAAUAGGGGAGCCGAAGGGAAACCGAGUCUUAACUGGGCGUUAAGUUGCAGGGUAUAGACCCGAAACCCGGUGAUCUAGCCAUGGGCAGGUUGAAGGUUGGGUAACACUAACUGGAGGACCGAACCGACUAAUGUUGAAAAAUUAGCGGAUGACUUGUGGCUGGGGGUGAAAGGCCAAUCAAACCGGGAGAUAGCUGGUUCUCCCCGAAAGCUAUUUAGGUAGCGCCUCGUGAAUUCAUCUCCGGGGGUAGAGCACUGUUUCGGCAAGGGGGUCAUCCCGACUUACCAACCCGAUGCAAACUGCGAAUACCGGAGAAUGUUAUCACGGGAGACACACGGCGGGUGCUAACGUCCGUCGUGAAGAGGGAAACAACCCAGACCGCCAGCUAAGGUCCCAAAGUCAUGGUUAAGUGGGAAACGAUGUGGGAAGGCCCAGACAGCCAGGAUGUUGGCUUAGAAGCAGCCAUCAUUUAAAGAAAGCGUAAUAGCUCACUGGUCGAGUCGGCCUGCGCGGAAGAUGUAACGGGGCUAAACCAUGCACCGAAGCUGCGGCAGCGACGCUUAUGCGUUGUUGGGUAGGGGAGCGUUCUGUAAGCCUGUGAAGGUGUGCUGUGAGGCAUGCUGGAGGUAUCAGAAGUGCGAAUGCUGACAUAAGUAACGAUAAAGCGGGUGAAAAGCCCGCUCGCCGGAAGACCAAGGGUUCCUGUCCAACGUUAAUCGGGGCAGGGUGAGUCGACCCCUAAGGCGAGGCCGAAAGGCGUAGUCGAUGGGAAACAGGUUAAUAUUCCUGUACUUGGUGUUACUGCGAAGGGGGGACGGAGAAGGCUAUGUUGGCCGGGCGACGGUUGUCCCGGUUUAAGCGUGUAGGCUGGUUUUCCAGGCAAAUCCGGAAAAUCAAGGCUGAGGCGUGAUGACGAGGCACUACGGUGCUGAAGCAACAAAUGCCCUGCUUCCAGGAAAAGCCUCUAAGCAUCAGGUAACAUCAAAUCGUACCCCAAACCGACACAGGUGGUCAGGUAGAGAAUACCAAGGCGCUUGAGAGAACUCGGGUGAAGGAACUAGGCAAAAUGGUGCCGUAACUUCGGGAGAAGGCACGCUGAUAUGUAGGUGAAGCGACUUGCUCGUGGAGCUGAAAUCAGUCGAAGAUACCAGCUGGCUGCAACUGUUUAUUAAAAACACAGCACUGUGCAAACACGAAAGUGGACGUAUACGGUGUGACGCCUGCCCGGUGCCGGAAGGUUAAUUGAUGGGGUUAGCGCAAGCGAAGCUCUUGAUCGAAGCCCCGGUAAACGGCGGCCGUAACUAUAACGGUCCUAAGGUAGCGAAAUUCCUUGUCGGGUAAGUUCCGACCUGCACGAAUGGCGUAAUGAUGGCCAGGCUGUCUCCACCCGAGACUCAGUGAAAUUGAACUCGCUGUGAAGAUGCAGUGUACCCGCGGCAAGACGGAAAGACCCCGUGAACCUUUACUAUAGCUUGACACUGAACAUUGAGCCUUGAUGUGUAGGAUAGGUGGGAGGCUUAGAAGUGUGGACGCCAGUCUGCAUGGAGCCGACCUUGAAAUACCACCCUUUAAUGUUUGAUGUUCUAACGUUGACCCGUAAUCCGGGUUGCGGACAGUGUCUGGUGGGUAGUUUGACUGGGGCGGUCUCCUCCUAAAGAGUAACGGAGGAGCACGAAGGUUGGCUAAUCCUGGUCGGACAUCAGGAGGUUAGUGCAAUGGCAUAAGCCAGCUUGACUGCGAGCGUGACGGCGCGAGCAGGUGCGAAAGCAGGUCAUAGUGAUCCGGUGGUUCUGAAUGGAAGGGCCAUCGCUCAACGGAUAAAAGGUACUCCGGGGAUAACAGGCUGAUACCGCCCAAGAGUUCAUAUCGACGGCGGUGUUUGGCACCUCGAUGUCGGCUCAUCACAUCCUGGGGCUGAAGUAGGUCCCAAGGGUAUGGCUGUUCGCCAUUUAAAGUGGUACGCGAGCUGGGUUUAGAACGUCGUGAGACAGUUCGGUCCCUAUCUGCCGUGGGCGCUGGAGAACUGAGGGGGGCUGCUCCUAGUACGAGAGGACCGGAGUGGACGCAUCACUGGUGUUCGGGUUGUCAUGCCAAUGGCACUGCCCGGUAGCUAAAUGCGGAAGAGAUAAGUGCUGAAAGCAUCUAAGCACGAAACUUGCCCCGAGAUGAGUUCUCCCUGACCCUUUAAGGGUCCUGAAGGAACGUUGAAGACGACGACGUUGAUAGGCCGGGUGUGUAAGCGCAGCGAUGCGUUGAGCUAACCGGUACUAAUGAACCGUGAGGCUUAACCUU